rnacentral:misc_RNA from 1 species
CAACCAUCAUCGACUCUUACGCAUUUAAUGAAAAUGUUUUUUAUAAAUUAUUACGAGGUCUUAAACGAAUUUUUCAAUGUGGUUUAAUUUUUGAUUCUAUUUGUGUAAAGAUUUCCAUCUAUCGGUUAAAAUGGCGUGGUUCAUUAGCGUCAUGAAGAUGGCGUCAUCUGUCCAUCAAUCCAUCAUCAACCUCAUCGUUAAUUUACAAAUACAAACAAGAAAAAAAAUCGAUUUUGAAUCGUUUUUAUGUCAAGCAGACGCCAAGCAUCUUUGAAUAGCGUGGUCUGUGCUCUAUGAUAAGUGUUACUGCUGGAGUGAGCAAUUUCAGCGUCAUGAUGGCGUGCCCCGUUAGCGUCAUGAUGGCGUGCCCCGUUAGCGUCAUGGUUGGCGUGCCCUGUUAGCGUCAUGGUUGGCGUGCCCUAUGUAAGCGUCGUGAUUGGCGUGCCCUGUGUUAACACAAUAUGCUUUCUUUAUUCGUGUGCUGUGAUUUCAACACCAGCAUUGGUCAGAGGAGACUCGCAAGCAGCAAGCUAGAACCUCUUCAUCAGCCAGAAGCUUGCUACAAAGAAGUACACAGUUCAGGGGCUGCACAGAUGUGCAACAAUUUUAUCGAGCCAUGGCAUCUGAGUGUGAUGGUGCCCUGUCAAUUUAUAAUAUGCCAACCCCUAACUAGCCUAGGAGUAAACAGGUUGAUUUGCAUUAUUUGGAUCUUCUCUAACAGAAAUCAACUGAGGACCACCAGACAGCAUCUUAACAGACGAGCUCUUCUAGUAAAAUUUUGAGUGAUGAUGGAGAUUGGGGUUGGUUUGCCCCUCCGAAGUCACGAAAGGAUUAUUCUGCAUCGUAUUUUUCAAUAUUGCAGCCUACGACAAGCGUGUUGAAGUUGAAGAACAUUUACCAGAGCAAAAAGUACUGAAAGAUAAGUCUGCUGUAACCAUAGAUUCGCACAAUAGUUUAGAGCUACGGGUAGUAGUAUUUUCUCUACCGGGUUGGUUACUAUUCACGUUCUUCAGCAAUCAGAUCCAUGCAGUGCUUGCUAAAUCCGUGCAGAUCCAAUCGGCCAAUUAAUUCGGCCAUUGUGACAGGUUUCAAGUGAAGCGAAAACGGACAAAUUACCAAACUGGAAUCAGCGCAAGCGACAGCUCUUAUGCAAGAAGUCGUACCUUCCCUAGGGAACCUGUGUUGAAAGCGGCAAAACUCGUCUGAUGGUACCUUCAAAGAGAGAAAAAGACAGGCCACCACGAAAUCAUAAUUGAGGGAAAUCUAUCUUAUUUUUAUUGACAAAUCAAAUCAAAACAUUUUUAUCUACACUG